CGGCUGUGCCCGAGCGGCGGCAGCAGCAGCCGCGCCGGCAGGAGCAGCGCCGGCGGCUUGGCCACAGCGGCGGCACCGGGGCCGCUCGCUCCGCACGCCUCGGUGCCCGGAGCCGCCCUGCCCGGCGCUGCCCGGCGACGGGAGGGCGGAGGUGCUCCUCGGCGGGCGCGGCGGGGAGGGGGCGGUGCCGUGUUGCCGCUGCCGCGGAGCGGAACGGAGCUGCUGCAUCCUCAUCCCCAUCCUCAUCCUCACCUCCCCUCCCUCGGCGCGACCCUGCCGGCUCCCCCCGCCCAGGGGGGCGGGAAGGCAGCGGGCGCUGCCCGCGGUCGCGGCGCGCCCCGAAGUGGCUCCGCACGGCGUUUCCCCCACCCCGCCCGCUGCCGCCGAUAAAUCCCAGCGCCGGGAGCAGCGCGGCACUCGGCGGCUGCCGCGCUGCGGGGAGGCGGCGGAGCUCGGCCCCCUCCCCGCGGCGGACACCCCCAACAGGGGCUACAGGAGCCGCGGCCGCCGGGCUCAGAGAGAAGACAGUUGGACAAGCAAGGACAGUGGGAGAGUGGCUGGGGAGUAGGCACUGCAGGAGAGUGGACAUGAGCCCUGGAGGCAAUGCUGAGAUGGCACCAGCAGCUCAGGAGAGUCUCAGGCUGCUCUGGCACAGGAGGUGAGCUGGGAGGUGAAUAGCCAGUGCUACAGUUAACUAAUUAUAACUAACUAGUUCUAAUGCCAGUGUGUAUCCUCAUCAUGUGGGUAAGGAA
rnacentral:lncRNA from 1 species